UAAGGUGGCUGCGCAGUGGGUUCGCCCCGUCCUUUCCGGCCGGGGCGUCGCAAGAGGGAACCCGGUGGGAAUCCGGGACUGCCCCGCAGCGGUGAGUGGGAACGACCGCCGUCAUCGAGCACUGGGCCACGUGUGGCCUGGGAAGCGACGGCCAGUAGGUGCCAUCCCGUCCCGGCCAGGGACGGUGGCGUGCCCGCGAGUCCGAAGACCUGCCUACUGCCCGUGCGCCGU
rnacentral:ncRNA from 2 species